AUUGAACGCUGGCGGCAUGCCUUACACAUGCAAGUCGAACGGUAACAGGUCUUCGGAUGCUGACGAGUGGCGAACGGGUGAGUAAUACAUCGGAACGUGCCCGAGAGUGGGGGAUAACGAAGCGAAAGCUUUGCUAAUACCGCAUACGAUCUCAGGAUGAAAGCAGGGGACCGCAAGGCCUUGCGCUCACGGAGCGGCCGAUGGCAGAUUAGGUAGUUGGUGGGAUAAAAGCUUACCAAGCCGACGAUCUGUAGCUGGUCUGAGAGGACGACCAGCCACACUGGGACUGAGACACGGCCCAGACUCCUACGGGAGGCAGCAGUGGGGAAUUUUGGACAAUGGGCGCAAGCCUGAUCCAGCCAUGCCGCGUGCAGGAUGAAGGCCUUCGGGUUGUAAACUGCUUUUGUACGGAACGAAAAGACUCUGGUUAAUACCUGGGGUCCAUGACGGUACCGUAAGAAUAAGCACCGGCUAACUACGUGCCAGCAGCCGCGGUAAUACGUAGGGUGCGAGCGUUAAUCGGAAUUACUGGGCGUAAAGCGUGCGCAGGCGGUUAUGUAAGACAGAUGUGAAAUCCCCGGGCUCAACCUGGGAACUGCAUUUGUGACUGCAUAGCUAGAGUACGGCAGAGGGGGAUGGAAUUCCGCGUGUAGCAGUGAAAUGCGUAGAUAUGCGGAGGAACACCGAUGGCGAAGGC
rnacentral:rRNA from 1 species